rnacentral:rRNA from 1 species
CCUACGGGGGGCAGCAGUGGGGAAUAUUGCACAAUGGGCGAAAGCCUGAUGCAGCAACGCCGCGUGAGCGAUGAAGGCCUUCGGGACGUAAAGCUCUGUCAUCAAGGAAGAUAAUGACGGUACUUGAGGAGGAAGCCCCGGCUAACUACGUGCCAGCAGCCGCGGUAAUACGUAGGGGGCUAGGGUUAUCCGGAAUUACUGGGCGGAAAGGGUGCGUAGGUGGUUUUUUAAGUCAGAGGUGAAAGGCUACGGCUCAACCGUAGUAAGCCUUUGAAACUGGGGAACUUGAGUGCAGGAGAGGAGAGCGGAAGUCCUAGUGUAGCGGUGAAAUGCGUAGAUAGUAGGAGGAACACCAGUUGCGAAGGCGGCUCUCGGGACUGUAACUGACACUGAGGCACGAAAGCGUGGGGAGCAAACAGGAUUAGAUACCCUUGUAGUC